GCCGAAAUAGCUCAGUUGGUAGAGCGCCCGAUUCGUAAUCGGUAGGUCGGGAGUUCGACUCUCCCUUUCGGCACCA
rnacentral:tRNA from 1 species